UUUUUAGAGAGUUUGAUCCUGGCUCAGGACGAACGCUGGCGGCGUGCCUAACACAUGCAAGUCGAACGGAGACAUAUUUGUAGUAAUAUAAAGAUGUCUUAGUGGCGGACGGGUGAGUAACGCGUGAGGAACCUGCCUUGGAGUGGGGGAUAACACAGGGAAACUUGUGCUAAUACCGCAUAAUACAGCGAAGUGGCAUCACUUUGCUGUCAAAGAUUUAUUGCUCUGAGAUGGACUCGCGUCUGAUUAGUUAGUUGGUGAGGUAACGGCUCACCAAGACAGCGAUCAGUAGCCGGACUGAGAGGUUGAACGGCCACAUUGGGACUGAGAUACGGCCCAGACUCCUACGGGAGGCAGCAGUGGGGAAUAUUGCGCAAUGGGGGAAACCCUGACGCAGCAACGCCGCGUGAAGGAUGAAGGUUUUCGGAUUGUAAACUUCUUUGACGAGGGACGAAAGAAUUGACGGUACCUC
rnacentral:rRNA from 1 species